CUCGCAUGAGAGAAGAUGGAAAGACGGUUUACGCUGUCACUUAUAGAUGGGCCCGCGGCGCAUUAGCUAGUUGGUGAGGUAAUGGCUCACCAAGGCGACGAUGCGUAGCCGACCUGAGAGGGUGAUCGGCCACACUGGGACUGAGACACGGCCCAGACUCCUACGGGAGGCAGCAGUAGGGAAUCUUCCGCAAUGGACGAAAGUCUGACGGAGCAACGCCGCGUGAACGAAGAAGGCCUUCGGGUCGUAAAGUUCUGUUGUUAGGGAAGAACAAGUACCAGAGUAACUGCUGGUACCUUGACGGUACCUAACCAGAAAGCCACGGCUAACUACGUGCCAGCAGCCGCGGUAAUACGUAGGUGGCAAGCGUUGUCCGGAAUUAUUGGGCGUAAAGCGCGCGCAGGUGGUUCCUUAAGUCUGAUGUGAAAGCCCACGGCUCAACCGUGGAGGGUCAUUGGAAACUGGGGAACUUGAGUGCAGAAGAGGAAAGUGGAAUUCCAAGUGUAGCGGUGAAAUGCGUAGAGAUUUGGAGGAACACCAGUGGCGAAGGCGACUUUCUGGUCUGUAACUGACACUGAGGCGCGAAAGCGUGGGGAGCAAACAGGAUUAGAUACCC
rnacentral:rRNA from 1 species